UACGUAGGGAGCAAGCGUUGUCCGGAAUCAUUGGGCGUAAAGCGCGCGUAGGUGGCUUCGUAAGUCCGUUGUGAAAGUCAAAGGCUCAACCUUUGAAUGCCGAUGGAUACUGCGGAGCUAGAGUACGGAAGAGGCGAGUGGAAUUCCUGGUGUAGCGGUGGAAUGCGCAGAGAUCGGGAGGAACACCCGUGGCGAAGGCGGUGGCCUGGACCGAUGCUGACGCUGAGGCGCGAAAGCGUGGGGAGGCGAUCCGG
rnacentral:rRNA from 1 species